rnacentral:rRNA from 1 species
AAGACCUUGCGCUUUUGGAGCGGCCGAUGCCUGAUUAGCUAGUUGGUGGGGUAAUGGCCUACCAAAGCUUCGAUCAGUAGCUGGUCUGAGAGGACGGCCAGCCACACUGGGACUGAGACACGGCCCAGACUCCUACGGGAGGCAGCAGUGGGGAAUUUUGGACAAUGGGCGCAAGCCUGAUCCAGCCAUGCCGCGUGAGUGAAGAAGGCCUUCGGGUUGUAAAGCUCUUUCAGCCGGGAAGAAAAGGUUGCGAUUAAUAAUCGCAAUUUAUGACGGUACCGGAGGAAGAAGCACCGGCUAACUACGUGCCAGCAGCCGCGGUAAUACGUAGGGUGCGAGCGUUAAUCGGAAUUACUGGGCGUAAAGGGUGCGCAGGCGGUUUUGUAAGUCAGAUGUGAAAUCCCCGGGCUUAACCUGGGAACU